rnacentral:rRNA from 1 species
GAUGAACGCUAGCUACAGGCUUAACACAUGCAAGUCGAGGGACCGGCGCACGGGUGAGUAACACGUAUCCAACCUGCCCUUUACUCGGGGAUAGCCUUUCGAAAGAAAGAUUAAUACCCGAUGUAAAGGAUGGGGAUGCGUUCCAUUAGGUUGUUGGUGAGGUAACGGCUCACCAAGCCUUCGAUGGAUAGGGGUUCUGAGAGGAAUGUCCCCCACGUGGGAACUGUGACACGGUCCAAACUCCUAGGGGAGGCAGCAGUGAGGAAGUGUGGUCAAUGGGCGUUAGCCUGAACCAGCCAAGUAGCGUGAAGGUUGAAGGCUUAUGGGUCGUAAACUUCUUUUAUAUAAGAAUAUGUAUUAUAUGAAUAAGGAUCGGCUAACUCCGUGCCAGCCGCCGCGGUAAUAC